rnacentral:tRNA from 1 species
GUGGGUGUAGCUCAGUUGGUUAGAGCGCAAGGUUGUGGCCCUUGAGGCCGGGGGUUCGAAUCCCCUCACUCACCCCA